rnacentral:rRNA from 1 species
ACGGGAGCAGCAGUGGGGGAUAUUGCACAAUGGGGGAAACCCUGAUGCAGCGACGCCGCGUGAGUGAAGAAGUAUUUCGGUAUGUAAAGCUCUAUCAGCAGGAAAGAUAAUGACGGUACCUGACUAAGAAGCACCGGCUAAAUACGUGCCAGCAGCCGCGGUAAUACGUAUGGUGCGAGCGUUAUCCGGAUUUACUGGGUGUAAAGGGAGCGCAGGCGGUACGGCAAGUCUGAUGUGAAAGCCCGGGGCUCAACCCCGGUACUGCAUUGGAAACUGUCGAACUAGAGUGUCGGAGGGGUAAGUGGAAUUCCUAGUGUAGCGGUGAAAUGCGUAGAUAUUAGGAGGAACACCAGUGGCGCAGGCGACUUACUGGACGAUAACUGACGCUGAGGCUCGAAAGCGUGGGGAGCAAACAGGAUUAGAUACCCUGGUA